CUCCCCUCCCCUUUCCCUCCUCUCCCCUCCCCUUUCUCUCCUCUCCCCUCCUCUUCCCCUCUCCUCUCCUCCCCUCCCCCCCCUUCCCUUCCCUUCUUUUCCUUUUUUGAAGAUAAAAUCUCACUCUGUUGCCCAGGCUGGAGUGCAGUGGUAUGAUCUCGGCUCACUGCAGGCUCAACCUCCUGGGCUCAAGCAAUCCUCCCACCUCAGUCUCCAGAGUAGAGAUGAAGUUUUGCCAUAUUGCCCCAGACUGGUCUCAAACUUCUGAGCUCAAGCAAUCUGCCUGAUUCAGCCUCCCAAAGUGCUGAGAUUCCAGGUGUGAGCCAUUACACCUGGAAAAAAGAGGCUGCCUUUUUCAUCUCUCCUGUUUUCGAGAUUUUUGAUGCUGCCAUGCCCUCUCCCAUUUUUUUGCCCCUAUGGUUUAUACCUUUAAGACAAAGUUCAUUGUCUUUUGUUUUAAUGAGGAGCUGGAAGAGAACAAAAGAAGAAAGCACAUGUGUUUAACGCUAUCUAUCUGGUGAGAGUUCAAGAUUUCAACAUUUUAAGAUAAUCUGAAAAAAAUUGGAAUGUGCCCCCAGCUGCCAAUACUCUCUCAACACUGUUUAUCAAAGGAACCAAUAUGGAAGGAAAAACAUUGCUUUGAAGGGAAGAUGGAUGGAUCCCCUAGUAAACUACAGCUUGAGGUGCAAUUUCCUAAAGUUCAAAUGCCUGAAAAAGGAAACGAAAGAAAGAAACUCAACUCUUGAGACAGCUUCAAUGCUAGCUUUGAUCUCAAUUAUAGAGUUAUUUAUGAAAAGUGCAUUUUUACAACUAAAAAUAAAUUAGGAUCAAAAGCUUCUAGAGGCUAUACUAUGGAGUGCUUAAUAAAAAGUUGAGUAAAGAGUAAUGAAUGGCUUUGUACUAUUAAUUUGAAAGAAUUACCUUCUCUUUUAAACAGCUGCCAAGAUAGUGAAGAUUGACAUGUCACAGGAAAUUAAAACAAAUGGUUUCUAGUCCUGUAUGCCUUGGUGGGUAAACAGUAGGAUAGAGCCCUUACCUGGGAAGCUGUGGGCUGGACUCUACCUCUAACUGUGUGCAACCAUUAAAGGAGCAACCUUCAGCAAGUUUAUUUAACUCUCUGGGCCUCAAAUUACCUACUCCUAAAGUGCACGAGAAGAACUAGUUCUUCUCUGAAAUUCUUCCUGUCUCCAAUGGCCUGUUCCUUAGUUCCUGUUAACUAAGCAUACUCACACUCUAAUAAAUACAUGUAAAAUCUUACCCCUUAUAGAAAUAGUUUUUUUAAAAAAAGAAUAAUCAGUUUUAAAUUUAAAUCAUAGGUCUAUUCACUCAAUGGACAUUGUUGGGAUUCAGUGUAGAAAAAGCACAAAGGAUGAACUUCCAGUCAACUUUCAGUAUUUGCAUAAACACGACACAAUUGUAGAUUAUCAAGAAAUAGUUUUUAUCAGACUAAAAUACUCUAAUGAAUGAUUUCAUAGUCUUUUGGCUGUUUAAUUAAAUUCAGUGAAUAAAUCAUUUCUUAUUCUCUAGGUAACAAUGAAAAAACAUCUCAGAAUAGUAUAGAACAGCAAAAGGAAUUGAAAGAUGGUGCUGAGGAUGAUAGAUGAUAGACAGACAGACAGACAGACAGACAGACAGAUAGAUAGAUAGAUAGAUAUUGAUAGAGAGAUAGAUAAGACAUAUAGAUAGAAUCCACUAUGUAGAAAAUGUCUCCUGUGGAUACUGGAAAGUAGCUACCUAUCUCAGGGAAAACAAUGGCAAACCCAUGAAUAAGCUGAUAGCUUUGACUAAUAGGAUAUCUUAGUUGCUGGGUUAAAAUAUGAGACUUGUGUUCAGAUUACAGUAUCUUUCAUUUUUAUAAGAGAACCUUUUUUUUUGAGAAAACAUAUGUCACGUUCACACAAUCUGGAAAUGAAUAUUCUUAUUCCUACCCCAAUCUCAUUUUCUUUUCUAGUUUUUUUUUUUUUUUUUUCCUGUUCUUUGCAGCUCACAGGGAUAAGGCAGGCAGAGUAGGAGGUAAAGGAAGAGUACUCAUGCCAAUAUGGCUCUUUGAGUAAUUACCCUGCAGAUGAGUUCCUCCAAGCACUAAAGGAGUGAGUCAGAUCCUCCCUUUGCCAUUCAGGUUCCCUGAAGUACGUCUGAAGGAAAAUAACAGGUCAUCCAGUCUUUUUCCAAUUUGGAGCUGUUGAAUUGCCACUGUUGUACUCCUUCCAUAUCUGAG
rnacentral:lncRNA from 1 species